GGGAGCGUUCUGUAAGCCUGUGAAGGUGUGUCGUGAGGCAUGCUGGAGGUAUCAGAAGUGCGAAUGCUGACAUAAGUAACGAUAAAGCGGGUGAAAAGCCCGCUCGCCGGAAGACCAAGGGUUCCUGUCCAACGUUAAUCGGGGCAGGGUGAGUCGACCCCUAAGGCGAGGCCGAAAGGCGUAGUCGAUGGGAAACGGGUUAAUAUUCCCGUACUUGGUGUUACUGCGAAGGGGGGACGGAGAAGGCUAUGUUGGCCGGGCGACGGUUGUCCCGGUUUAAGCGUGUAGGUGUGUGUUCCAGGUAAAUCCGGUUCACUUUAACACUGAGGCGUGACGACGAGGCACUACGGUGCUGAAGCAACAAAUGCCCUGCUUCCAGGAAAAGCCUCUAAGCAUCAGGUAACAUCAAAUCGUACCCCAAACCGACACAGGUGGUCAGGUAGAGAAUACCAAGGCGCUUGAGAGAACUCGGGUGAAGGAACUAGGCAAAAUGGUGCCGUAACUUCGGGAGAAGGCACGCUGACACGUAGGUGAAGUGAUUUACUCAUGGAGCUGAAGUCAGUCGAAGAUACCAGCUGGCUGCAACUGUUUAUUAAAAACACAGCACUGUGCAAACACGAAAGUGGACGUAUACGGUGUGACGCCUGCCCGGUGCCGGAAGGUUAAUUGAUGGGGUCAGCGCAAGCGAAGCUCCUGAUCGAAGCCCCGGUAAACGGCGGCCGUAACUAUAACGGUCCUAAGGUAGCGAAAUUCCUUGUCGGGUAAGUUCCGACCUGCACGAAUGGCGUAAUGAUGGCCAGGCUGUCUCCACCCGAGACUCAGUGAAAUUGAACUCGCUGUGAAGAUGCAGUGUACCCGCGGCAAGACGGAAAGACCCCGUGAACCUUUACUAUAGCUUGACACUGAACAUUGAGCCUUGAUGUGUAG
rnacentral:rRNA from 1 species